rnacentral:RNase_P_RNA from 1 species
CAGAUUAUACGGUUGCGGGCAAAGAAAUUUGCGUGAGGAAAGUCCGAGCAUCGCAGGGCAGGAUGCCUGCUAACGGCAGGUGAAGGCGACUUCAAGGAAAGUGAACAGAAAUAUACCGCAGACAAUUUUGUCUGUAAGGGCGGAAUGGCGAGGUAAGAGCUCACCGAGGCUGCGGUAACGCGGCCUGCCAGUCAAACCCCAUCCGAUGCAAGAUUGGGAUAAUGUCUUGUUUUAAUGCAGAGGGCUGCCCGUCCGACAUUAUCCGUCAACAUCGCUCGAACAUGCAGGCGACUGUAUGUCUAGAUAGAUAACCGUACACGACAGAACUCGGCUUACAGAUCUGU